AACGAACGCUGGCGGCAUGCCUAACACAUGCAAGUCGAACGAGACCUUCGGGUCUAGUGGCGCACGGGUGCGUAACGCGUGGGAACCUGCCCUUAGGUUCGGAAUAACUCAGAGAAAUUUGAGCUAAUACCGGAUGAUUUCUUCGGACCAAAGAUUUAUCGCCUUUAGAUGGGCCCGCGUUGGAUUAGCUAGUUGGUGGGGUAAAGGCCUACCAAGGCGACGAUCCAUAGCUGGGCUGAGAGGAUGGUCAGCCACACUGGGACUGAGACACGGCCCAGACUCCUGCGGAAGGCAGCAGUGGGGGAUAUUGGAAAAUGGGCGGAGGCCUGAUCCAGCAAUGCCGCGUGAGUGAUGAAGGCCGUAGAGUUGUAAAGCUCUUUUACCCGAGAUGAUAAUGACGGUAUCGGGAGAAUAAGCUCCGGCUAACUCCGUG
rnacentral:rRNA from 1 species